rnacentral:rRNA from 1 species
GAUGAACGCUGGCGGCGUGCCUAAUACAUGCAAGUCGAGCGAAUGGAUUAAGAGCUUGCUCUUAUGAAGUUAGCGGCGGACGGGUGAGUAACACGUGGGUAACCUGCCCAUAAGACUGGGAUAACUCCGGGAAACCGGGGCUAAUACCGGAUAACAUUUUGAACCGCAUGGUUCGAAAUUGAAAGGCGGCUUCGGCUGUCACUUAUGGAUGGACCCGCGUCGCAUUAGCUAGUUGGUGAGGUAACGGCUCACCAAGGCAACGAUGCGUAGCCGACCUGAGAGGGUGAUGGGCCACAGUGGGAGUGAGACACGGCCCAGACUCCUACGGGAGGCAGCAGUAGGGAAUCUUCCGCAAUGGACGAAAGUCUGACGGAGUAACGCCGCGUGAGUGAUGAAGGCUUUCGGGUCGUAAAACUCUGUUGUUAGGGAAGAACAAGUGCUAGUUGAAUAAGCUGGCACCUUGACGGUACCUAACCAGAAAGCCACGGCUAACUACGUGCCAGCCGCCGCCGCGG